GCCAGCAGCUAUAUCACCCUGCAACUCACGACUGGCAGCCCAGAGAAUCUCAGCAGGUGUGAGUCUGACCAGUACCUGGAUGGGAGACCUCCUGGGAAAGCUAAGGCUGCUGACA
rnacentral:rRNA from 1 species